GACGAACGCUGGCGGCGUGCUUAACACAUGCAAGUCGAACGGGCCUUGUCCCCUUUUUUUUGGGGGUGGGGUUAGUGGCGAACGGGUGAGUAACACGUGAGUAACCUGCCCCUCACUUCUGGAUAACCGCUUGAAAGGGUGGCUAAUACGGGGUGUUCUGGCCUGCUCGCAUGGGUGGGUUUGGAAAGAUUCGACCGGUUUUGGUUGUUUUGGUGGGGGAUGGGCUCGCGGCCUAUCAGCUUGUUGGUGGGGUGAUGGCCUGCCAAGGCUUUGACGGGUAGCCGGCCUGAGAGGGUGGGCGGUCACACUGGGACUGAGACACGGCCCAGACUCCUACGGGGGGCAGCAGUGGGGCAUAUUGCAAAAUGGGCGCAAGCCUGAUGCAGCGACGCCGCGUGAGGGAUGGAGGCCUUCGGGUUGUGAACCUCUUUCGCCAGUGAAGAAGGUCCUGCUCUUUGUGGUGGGGUUGACGGUAGCUGGGUUAAUGAAGCGCCGGCUAACUACGUG
rnacentral:rRNA from 1 species